UACAGAGGUCUCAAGCGUUGUUCGGAUUCAUUGGGCGUAAAGGGCGCGUAGGCGGCUCAUGAAGGCUGUGGUGAAAGUCCGGGGCUCAACCUCGGAUCGGCCGUGGCGACUCGUGGGCUGGAGCACUGUAGAGGCGGGUGGAAUUCCGGGUGUAGCGGUGGAAUGUGUAGAGAUCCGGAAGAACACCAGUGGCGAAGGCGGCCCGCUGGGCAGUGGCUGACGCUGAGGCGCGACAGCGUGGGGAGCAAACAGG
rnacentral:rRNA from 1 species